AAACAUACUUGUUUUCUGGGCAUUAGCACCACCAAACAGACCUGAUGAUCCAGUUGCAGAACUUCCAAAGAGACCAGUACCAGUUUGUGACGGAGUAGCUGUUCCAAACCCUGUUGUUGCAGUUGUUUUGGCCCCAAAAAGACUGCCCCCUGUUCCAAAACCUGUGUUAUAAGUUAAAAAUAUGCUUUUUUAACACAUGAUUUAAGACAGUAGGCAAGCUGAAUAUUGUUAAGUUUAUUUAUUUAUUAGCUUUACAAUCAUACAAAAGUGCUAUAAAAUAUAUAACAAUGAUUAAAAG
rnacentral:lncRNA from 1 species